rnacentral:rRNA from 1 species
GACGGAGGGUGCAAGCGUUGCUCGGAAUUACUGGGCGUAAAGGGCUUGUAGGUGGCCAACUAAGUCAGACGUGAAAUCCCUCGGCUUAACCGGGGAACUGCGUCUGAUACUGGAUGGCUUGAGUGUGGGAGAGGGAUGCGGAAUUCCAGGUGUAGCGGUGAAAUGCGUAGAUAUCUGGAGGAACACCGGUGGCGAAGGCGGCAUCCUGGACCAUUACUGACACUGAAAAGCGAAAGCCAGGGGAGCAAACGGG